UUUAUGGAGAGUUUGAUCCUGGCUCAGGAUGAACGCUGGCGGCGUGCCUAAUACAUGCAAGUCGAGCGAACGGACGAGAAGCUUGCUUCUCUGAUGUUAGCGGCGGACGGGUGAGUAACACGUGGAUAACCUACCUAUAAGACUGGGAUAACUUCGGGAAACCGGAGCUAAUACCGGAUAAUAUUUUGAACCGCAUGGUUCAAAAGUGAAAGACGGUCUUACUGUCACUUAUAGAUGGAUCCGCGCUGCAUUAGCUAGUUGGUAAGGUAACGGCUUACCAAGGCAACGAUGCAUAGCCGACCUGAGAGGGUGAUCGGCCACACUGGAACUGAGACACGGUCCAGACUCCUACGGGAGGCAGCAGUAGGGAAUCUUCCGCAAUGGGCGAAAGCCUGACGGAGCAACGCCGCGUGAGUGAUGAAGGUCUUCGGAUCGUAAAACUCUGUUAUUAGGGAAGAACAUAUGUGUAAGUAACUGUGCACAUCUUGACGGUACCUAAUCAGAAAGCCACGGCUAACUACGUGCCAGCAGCCGCGGUAAUACGUAGGUGGCAAGCGUUAUCCGGAAUUAUUGGGCGUAAAGCGCGCGUAGGCGGUUUUUUAAGUCUGAUGUGAAAGCCCACGGCUCAACCGUGGAGGGUCAUUGGAAACUGGAAAACUUGAGUGCAGAAGAGGAAAGUGGAAUUCCAUGUGUAGCGGUGAAAUGCGCAGAGAUAUGGAGGAACACCAGUGGCGAAGGCGACUUUCUGGUCUGUAACUGACGCUGAUGUGCGAAAGCGUGGGGAUCAAACAGGAUUAGAUACCCUGGUAGUCCACGCCGUAAACGAUGAGUGCUAAGUGUUAGGGGGUUUCCGCCCCUUAGUGCUGCAGCUAACGCAUUAAGCACUCCGCCUGGGGAGUACGACCGCAAGGUUGAAACUCAAAGGAAUUGACGGGGACCCGCACAAGCGGUGGAGCAUGUGGUUUAAUUCGAAGCAACGCGAAGAACCUUACCAAAUCUUGACAUCCUUUGACAACUCUAGAGAUAGAGCUUUCCCCUUCGGGGGACAAAGUGACAGGUGGUGCAUGGUUGUCGUCAGCUCGUGUCGUGAGAUGUUGGGUUAAGUCCCGCAACGAGCGCAACCCUUAAGCUUAGUUGCCAUCAUUAAGUUGGGCACUCUAAGUUGACUGCCGGUGACAAACCGGAGGAAGGUGGGGAUGACGUCAAAUCAUCAUGCCCCUUAUGAUUUGGGCUACACACGUGCUACAAUGGACAAUACAAAGGGCAGCGAAACCGCGAGGUCAAGCAAAUCCCAUAAAGUUGUUCUCAGUUCGGAUUGUAGUCUGCAACUCGACUACAUGAAGCUGGAAUCGCUAGUAAUCGUAGAUCAGCAUGCUACGGUGAAUACGUUCCCGGGUCUUGUACACACCGCCCGUCACACCACGAGAGUUUGUAACACCCGAAGCCGGUGGAGUAACCUUUUAGGAGCUAGCCGUCGAAGGUGGGACAAAUAAUUGGGGUGAAGUCGUAACAAGGUAGCCGUAUCGGAAGGUGCGGCUGGAUCACCUCCUUUCU
rnacentral:rRNA from 14 species